rnacentral:lncRNA from 1 species
CCAGAGAUAUAGAGAGACAGAGAGAGGAUGCAUCCACAGGUCCAGAGAUAUAGAGAGACAGAGAGAGGACGCAUCCACAGGUCCAGAGAUAUAGAGACAGAGGAGAGAACACAUCCACAGGUCCAGAGAUAUAGAGAGACAGAGAGAGGACGCAUCCACAGGUCCAGAGAUAUAGAGACACAGAGGAGAGGACACAUCCACAGGUCCAGAGAAAUAUAGAGACACAGAGGAGAGGACAGCUCCACAUGCCCAGAGAUAUAGAGACCCGGAGAGAGGAUAUCUCCACAGGCCCAGAGAUAUGGAGACACAGAGGACACCUCCAGGCCCAGAGAUAUAGAGGAGAGGAGCGGGGAGAAGAGGAGAUGAAGUGGGUGGGUGGGUGUGGUUUUAACCAGGGGCAACAGGUUAACAUACCACGGUAACAGACAGCGACACAGAGAGACAUACUGAUGGACUCUAUGGAGGCAGAUUAUGUGAAUAAUUAUAGAGGAAUGUUUGUAGCGAGUCUGAUAGGUACUGUAGAUGUGGACAUGUGGUAACCACGUUCCUUUCCCUUUCCAAGGUCAAGUCUUGUGGUCGUGCUCCUGUGUUUAAUUGGGGAAGCAACAUUUAACCUCUCAGCAUGUUUCUAUGGUGUGUUUGACUCCUAUUUCUAUUAGUGUAAUCAACCAUCUAGUUCAUUCUUCUAAUCCUCUCCCCUCUUUUCUUUCAUACCCAUCCUUCCCCACCACCAGUGUAUCCUUUCCCCCACUAUCUCCCUCCUCUUUCUCCUCCCCCCACACUCCUCAGUAAGAUCACACUUAAAAGUAAAGACCACUUCAGCAGUUUAUGGACUUCAGGAUGGGUUUUUAUUGAUCAGACGUCUGCAUUAAGAGUCAAAGAGAGAGAGACAACCGUUUGCUUCACUUAUUUACCAACCCCACAUCCCCCUUCUCCUUUCCCUUCCAGUACAGUCAGUUACAAAGGAUAGCAACAAUAUCGACUGUAAAACAUUACAAUACAUAGUUAUGGCAAAAACGCUGACUCACUAAAUAAGUAAUUACCUGGACUAUUUUUUAUUGCAAAAAAAUCUAUAUCCCUUCUGGUGUACAAAAUAUUCAUUCCUACUUGCAGCCUACCCAGUUGUGGUCUGAAGGUUCAGUUGGGCUUUUCUGCUCCUGGAUCAGUGUGUCCAUUCCUGACACAGUGUCUCUGCCAGAUUCCCUCUGGUGAGCCCUGUUCUCAGGUCAGUGAGUCAGAUGGAGUCUUGGUGUGUCUGUCAACCAUUCUUGGUCCCACUCUUCAGUGAUCCGGAGUGAUCAAUGCACAGCUACAGCUGGUUGAAGGGGACCAAAUCCAUUGAACAGUUGAUUUGGUUCCAUUUUACCAGCUUUAGCAAAGCAUUUUUGGUGUGAAGUCCUACAGUAUGGUCUGAGGAGGUGGGACAGCUUCAGAGUCCUGGAUGAGAGGUAACAGAAAGGAGGAAAGGAUGAGCUCAUUGACAGACACAUGUUGUUGUGGAAUUGUUACGAUCAAAUGCACAUCCACAUAGAAAGCACUCAGACAAAGAACUGAUAUUGGAGAAAACGAUGCCAUUGUAUGAAUUCCUAGGCCUGCAUGGAGUAACAAGAGGGUAGGAGGGAACAGAGAAAAUAAUUAUGGCAGUUACAGAGCAGAGAAAAGGAGAGGAGGAGGAGGUGAAGAGGAGAAAGAGAACAAAGGAGAUUGGAGUGGGGCCCUACACACAAAAAACAAAUGGUACUAUAAAGUGCCAAAUAAGGGUUGUGUGGCUUGUAAUCAUAGCAGAACCCUUUUCGGUGCUAUAUGGAAACUUUUUUUGAAGGUUCUAUAAGAACCAUGCUAAUAAGGUUCUAAAUGGAACCUCUAUGGUGCUAUAAAGAUCCCCUUCCAAAGGAUCUAUAAAGAACCAUUAAAAAAGUUGGUCCUGGGGCCCCCCUUGGUGCACAUUUUGGUUUUUGCUCUAGCACUACUCAGCUGAUGAAAAUAAUCAAAGCUUGAUGAUGAGUUGGUUAUUUGAAUCAGCUGUGUAGUGCUAGGGCAAAAACCAAAACAUGUGCCCAGGGGUAUAGCAUCAAAAAGGGUUGCGCUACGGUUAAAUCCCAUUUUUAAUGUUUUUUAUGAUUUUUUAAAUCCCAUUUUUUUAUUUCUAGAACCUUUAUGGAGAAUGGUUCCAUAAAGAACCUUUCUCAAUCUCAAAGGUUCUUUGUAGAACCAUACUGUUUUUUUCUGGUUUAAUAGCUAUAUUAUAUUGUUACAAUUCUAUAGGUUUUAUUAUAGUUGAAUCAGGUGUGCUAGCUCUGGAACAGCUUGGGGACCCUGAGGAGAGAAUUGAAAACUACUGACUUAGUCAACCUUUCUCAAUUGACACAAGACCAUACGUGAGUCUUCACAAGACAACGUCACCGGCCAUGGUCAUUUGUACUAUUAUAACAUUACAGAUUAGAUCAACUGGAAUGACACACUCACGGUUGCACAAAAAGAGCUGUGCGCAAACCACGCACCAAAAUAUUCUAAUAAUUAUCACCAAAAGAGGAAAGAACCCUUUUUUAAACUGCAAAGAACAAUUGAAGGGCUCAAAUAGUUAUUUUGGUCAGUAUGGUUCCACAUAGAACCUUUGAGGAACCCUCACUUUUUUUGCAUGUAAGAGAAAACAGGAGGUGAGUGCAUAUAAACUGCAGACAAACUUGAGAGAACAAUUAAUUUAUCACAGGCUUGUCAAUACUGCUAAUGAACCUCCAGGAUUCGACACCUCAGGAAUUAACUCCCAUUGACCUCUACAGAGCAUCUCUCUCAAUCCCCCUCCCUCUUUCUUUCUCUCUGUUUCCCUCUCCCCUCUUUCUCUCCACAACUUUCUCCCCUUCUCUUCCUCACUCUCUCCUCCCUCUCUCUCCCCAUAUCCCCGCUCUCUCUCUCUCCCUCUUCUAUCUCUCUCUUGCUCUCUCACAUUUACUCCUUCUCCCUCCAUCUCCAUCCUUUCUUGUGUCUACUUUCUUGAUCUCUAUGUCUACCUCUCCCUCCCUAACUACCACAUCUUUUGUACCUUCAUUUCUUUAUUGUGUCUAUCAUUUCUCUAUCAUUUCUCCUUCAGGGCGAUGUUGUCCCUCAGUGUAUAACCUGCCCCAGUGUACUCAGCCACCCGCUAACUGUGUGCUGCUUGCCUUUGGUGCAACUCACUCAUAUUCUUGUUCAAUUAGCUUUAGCUGAUCAUUUAGCUAUUAGGAAGUAAACCACUUCACACCCGCAACAGACUCCUGCCUCCACAAAAUGAGCCAUUGAUAGUAAAAGUGUUUUUAAUGCCAAGUUUCGGAGGAUAACAUUAUCAUGAUAUUUAGUCCCGUACUAUCAUUCCUCUUGACAUCUUUCCUCCUUAUACCUUGACAACUUCACCAAUCCCUAGUCUAUCUCUCAUCCCAUCAGAAAGCCAAUGUAGCUACAAAUGCAGCAUACUGCUCAGCAUACUGCUCAGUCUCUCCAAUGUGUGUUUCUAAGGCUACAUCUAGACAGGCAGCCCAGUUCUGAUCUUGUUUUCACUAAUUGGUCUUUUGACCAAUCAGAUCAGCUCUGAAAAAGAUCUGCUGUGAAAAGAUCUGAUGUGAUUGGUCAAAAGACCAAGUAGUGGAACAAAUAUCAGAACUGGGCUCCCUGUCUAAAUGCAGCCUUUAUAUCUUCCCACUCCUUCUCUUCUCUUUCUCUCGGAUGCUUGUCCACAGGGAGAUAUGUAGGUACAGUAUCUUGCGGACAUAGUAUGGGAUGCACACUCAUAUCUAAGUAUUAACAUACAUGCAUGCAUGAAUACACAAAGUCACACUCAGACUCACACAUACACACAGCUGGGUUCCUAUCCCAGUAUCACCAACAUCAGUAGUUACUCUACAUUCUCAGAUAUGACCUCUAACAUUCAAAACCAGGUCACGUUCAAAACCAGGUCACGUUCAAAACCAGAAAGUAACAUCUAAAUCAUUUCAGGAUAAACGCUGAACAAAGUGGUACACCUUGUCGCACUGUAACUCACUGACACCUCAAAGUGCUAACCUGAAUGUGAAUGUGACUACAACGUGUACUGCACCUAUUGCUACCAGGGCUUGGUUAGGCUUCUACAGAACAGGACUUUAACAGGUCGAUUAAGAUGUCAACGCUGUUCCCCAGCUGUCCCCACGUGAAGAUAACAACAGCGACACGAACUGCAACACAAAUCAAAUGUAAAAAAAAUGAAUGAUUAAAGAACAGGCGGACGAGCUAAAGAGCAACACAAACUUGUCACCUGAGAGCCCGGUGAAUUGAUGAGGGAGACACUUCCUUGGCUGGGAGAGGAGAUGAGAAGAGAGGAGGAGAGAGGAUAAGAGGAGAGGAGCAGAAGUUCCCACUACAUAGCACAAACACAAAGUCAAAAGUGUCUAUAUGGUAAAAAUGAAUUAAAACAAAAAUGUGAUUUUUGGUCUGAAUUUAAGGUUAGGGUUAGACAUAAGGUUUGCAGUGUGGUUAAGGUUAGGGUUAGGGUUCGGUUUAAAAUCACAUUUUAAGAAGAUAAAUUGUUUAAAUAGGCAUGUUUAUGACUUUGUGGCUGUAGUAACUAGUGACAACCGAGGAGAGGAGAGUAGCACACUUAGAAGGACACUGAGGUAUGGCCUGAAUUCUACCUGUCCCCGAGCUGCUUUUGUUAUAUCUCUACUGCACCGUACAGCACUGCAGAAUGUGGCCACAUAAAAAAAAUACUAUAGUAUACUAUGGUAUAAAUACUAUAGUAUUCACUGUACUGUUUUUGCUGACUUUACUAUAGUAUUCACUGUACUGUUUUUGCGGACCAAAUUAGUUUUUACUGUAGUAUAAUGUAGUUUACUGUUGUAUUUACAGUUCAAUACUGUAGUAAAAUAACUAUGGUUAAAUACUAUAGUAUUCACUGUAGUGGUUUUGCUGACUUUACUAUACUAAUUAACGUAGUGUUUUUAGGGGACUGUACUAUACUGUGGUAUUUACUGUAGUGUUUUUGAAGACAUUACUGUAAUAUUUACUAUAGUGUUUUUGUUUGAUUAUCUUUGACAUAGAAAUGGAGGCUUUCUCCUUCAGGAAACCUACUGGAGAAAUACUAAAAUAGCAUAUUUUCCAUAAUCUGUAGUUAGGUAGCACUUCUGCUCUUUAGGGAACACAAUAUGGUCUACACUUGGCAUGUAGAUUUGUCACUUAUGUGUGGCACAAAUUGAGAUAGGGGGUGGGGAAAUGUUAAAAAAAGUGUAAUAUUAUUGGCAACUGGAGUGUUUUUCCAGAUAUUACUGUAGUAUUUACUACAGUGUUUUUUUUCUUCAGGUAAUACUGUAGUAUUUACUGUAGUAUUCUACAGUAUUCAACAUUCUAUAGUAAGUACUAAACAUGAUCGAGGGAAACUAGCAGUGCUUAAUUUGAGCGGUAUCCCAGCAACUCUGUUUUGGAGUGCUUCUUUACGGAAUCCAUGUUCCAGGAUCCGGUACCUCUCGUGGCAUGAAAAAUAAUUGUCACUGUUUGUGAUGUAAAAAUUAUAAUAAAAGCAAUCAGAGUUAGGCUAAUUCAAGUUGACUCCUCUGUAAUUCUCCUGGCUGCCCUCUAAACAACGUAAAGUGGAAACGUGCCUGAUAAUUGACUGGUGUUGGGCAGGCCCGGGUUUAUGAUUUGCGCGACAUUGUAGCCUAUAUAGACUAAUGCGUGGCCAUUGCUGUGGUGAGAGGGAGAAGCGCGCCAGUAUAUCGCACAGAACUAGAAUGAGAUUCACUUUCUGUGAUAUCUCUCUCUCUCUCUACUCUGAUCGACAUGAGCUUGCAGCUCUCAACUCUCCAGCGUUGCACUUCAUCAUUUAUUUCCUUAUAGAAUCAUACCCGCGCGAAGGAGUCUGGAGGUGCCGCCCCAGCUAGCAAUGAGGAAUCGGCCCAGAAGCGGCCCUCUUCCGGGGGGCCGGAACUGAUUCAAUCGGAUCUGAAUCGGGUGUCGGACUCGGACCGGAAUCGAAAUGAAUGACUGCCCUGAAUCGCAGCACCCCUGAUAAAUUGAAAUACAUUUGCCAGAGUUAUAGAAUUACUGCUGUCUUUUUUGUUGUUGUUGAAAUAAAUGAAAUAAUUCCGAAUACUACACUAGGAGUAGGCCUAUAAUUUAGCCACAGAUGAUCAAUAUUAUUAUAUUAUUUAUUUUUUUGCUGUGUGUAGCCUAAUCACGAGGCAUGCCUAGGUGCGGAAAAUCUGUCAAUGAACAGCAAGCAGCCAAAACAGGCCUUUCGCAAUAUUUCAAAUACAAUCGCGGGAAAAAAAUACAGGUUGGCAAUCAAAUGGAUCCUGCUGAAAAUAGAAGACUAAUCUGUCUGUAGGCUAACAAGUUAUCAACUUCCAAAUAGGCCUAAUGAGCGAACAGUGUUGUUUUACCAAAUAAAACAAGAGAGAGAAAAGCUUCGCGGGUGAGUGAGCUGAGCAUCAUGGGGUGGUGAGUCAGUGAAACUGGAAUGCUUUUUAGGACUAUAUUUUCCGACUCAUAUUGUAUAAUUUGUGUCUCCACACACCUAGGUCUAGGCUAUUGAUGGACUGAAGACAAGGUCGUUUUUAUUGAUCUCAGAUACUCAGUUUGUCAGUGUCAAAGUAGCCUGUCAUUUGUGAGGUAUGUGGAGGUAUGUGUGUGUGUGUGUGUGUGUGUGUGUGUGUGUGUGUGUGUGUGUGUGUGUGUGUGUGUGUGUGUGUGUGCGUGCGUGCGUGCGUGCGUGCGUGCGUGCGUGCGUGCGUGCGUGUGAUUUAGACCAAGGGAGUGUAUUCUGGGUGUACUUGAGUUAAGAGGAGAAAAUUGCUUUGCAUGAAAUCCUUUUCACACAAGGGCUUUCUAUAGAUUAGAGACAGAAUCCCUCUGGUACACUUUCCUGCUUCUCAUUAAAAUCUUUCCCUCCAUAUGUUUUCCCCCUUAAAAACACACAUCCGUUUAGCUCAUAUAGACAGGUAUUUAUAAAGUCAUCUGUACUUCUCCAGGUAAAGGUGAUGAGAUUGAUUAAUUGUGUGGCAGCCGGGUGAUGUCCUUUGGCUGUUCCUUAGAAAGUACACAGUAAAGUGAUGAUAUUCGAGGUGUCAUAUUCUCCAGGCAUAAAUUGUAAUUAGUAGUCGAGCCAAAUGCUCACCUCUCAACACCUCCUCUACUCAAAUGCAAAUUGUAACACGCAAAUAGACAGGCUUAGAAGGCGCGCUUGUCUUGAGACGUAUGGGUGUGUGUGUAGGCAACUGUACUGUACGUGUGUGUAUGCAGCGCCUAUAUGCAUACUUUUGUGAGGAAUCAGGAGGAGAGUGUGUGUUUGUGUGUGUGUGUGUGUGUGUGUGUGUGUGUGUGUGUGUGUGUGUGUGUGUGUGUGUGUGUGUGUGUGUGUGUGCGCGCGCGUGUGUGCGGUGUGCCCUCUAUCAGUCUGGCUGCUUUUAGUCGGACUGGAUGCUUGUGUCUAUUCUGGGAACCUGCUCGGCCCUGCAUUCCUGCCCUUAUAUUGGAGAUGGGAAGGAGGGAUCAGGGUUUGGGACAGCUGGACCCUGGAGGGAGGGGUAGGGAGGGGUAGGGAGGGGUUGGAGGGAACUGUGUACAGGUGGUGUAAGGGGCAACUGCUGAUGAGACUAUGUAUAGCCCUAAAGAGGGUCUGACACUGAACCCUGUCCCACUGCACAGCCUGUCACUUUGCUUCAAUAUUAUCUUUAUUUUUAUUUUAGAUGCACAGAAUGGUCUGUCCGUCACUCUCUCUUGCUCUCUUGCUCUCUUGCUCUCUCUUUAUCACUCCCCUCUCUGUCACAAUUCUCUCUCUCUCUCUUGCUCUCUCUCUCGCUCUCUCUUGCUCUUUCUCUCUCUCUCUCUUGCUCCCUCUCUCUCUCUCUUGCUCUCUCUCUCUCUCUCUCUCUCUCUCUCUCUCUCUCUCUCUCUCUGCCCCUCUGUUCCUGUCAACCAUUUCACUCGGCUCUCUCUCUCUCUCCUUAUCUGGACAAGUGAGCUCUGAGUGGUUCUCAGGCAGCUGGCCUGUUGAAUGACACUACACCUCUCCCUUCCCUCCCCUCUGGUCUGGAGAGCUGGUGGGCCAAAGGGCUGGGGUCCAUCAAAAUGCAUCACUUCCUGUCACAUCCACAUUGUGCAAGGCCGCGUGCUGCUCUUACUCUCUGCCCUCUAGUGCCACCACAGAUUCAGUGACCAAUUGUCAUUUUUUGUAAACAUUUUUUUUUUUAAAUGUAUCCUUUAUUUAACUAGGCAAGUCAGUUAAGAACAAAUUCUUAUUUACAAUGACGGCUUACUUGAGUAAUAGAAAAUGAAGUGAAAGUCACCCAUUAAAAUAUUACUUGAGUAAAUGUCUAAAAGUAUUUGGUUUUAAAUAUACUUAAGUAUCAGAUCAGAGGAAGUAGGCAUGACCACGGAUGUUCUCUUGAUAAGUGUGUGAAUUGGACCAUUUUCCUGUCCUGCUAUGAGGUCAAACUGUAAUUAGUACUUUUGGGUGUCAGGGAAAAUAUAUUGUGGAAAAAGUACAUAUUUUCUUUAUGAAUGUAGUGGAAUAAAAG